UACGGAGGGUGCAAGCGUUGUCCGGAUUUAUUGGGUUUAAAGGGUGCGUAGGCGGAUGUUUAAGUCAGUGGUGAAAGUUUGCGGCUCAACCGUAAAAUUGCCAUUGAUACUGGACAUCUUGAGUACAGUUGAGGUAGGCGGAAUUCAUGGUGUAGCGGUGAAAUGCAUAGAUACCAUGAAGAACACCUAUAGCGAAGGCAGCUUACUAAACUGUAACUGACGCUGAGGCACGAAAGCGUGGGGAGCGAACAGG
rnacentral:rRNA from 1 species